CCGCCCAGCUGGGAUCUCAGGGCUUCCUUUCCUGUCCUCCUCCAGGAUGGGGUCAACCACCGUCCUCGCCCUCCUCCUGGCUGUUCUCCAAGGUGUCUGUGCCGAGGUGCAGCUGGUGCAGUCCGGAGCAGAGGUGAAAAGGCCCGGGGAGUCUCUGAAGAUCUCCUGUAAGGCUUCUGGAUAUAGCUUUAACAGCUACUGGAUCGGCUGGGUGCGACAGAUGCCUGGGAAAGGCCUGGAGUGGAUGGGGAUGAUCUAUCCUGGUGACUCUGAUACCAGAUACAGCCCGUCCUUCCAAGGUCACAUCACCAUCUCAGUCGACAAGUCCACCAGCACUGCCUACCUGCAGUGGAGCAGCCUGAAGGCCUCGGACGCUGCCAUGUAUUACUGUGCGAGAGACACAGUGUGAGAAAUCAGCACUGAGCCCAUCUAAAAUCCCCCACAGGGCAGGUGCAGAGUGAGCUGCCAGAGACGACCUCCCCAGGGCGCCCCUCUCAAUUCCCUCUGGGGAGGAAUCACUGGCUGUUUGUGUCCUCAGAAGCCAGAACCAGAGAACAACAUGGGAGGGUUUGUAGCCCCUACAGCAACUAGGAUGGGGGACCUGCUCCUGGGAGUGGAUUCUCUGAGGGGCUCCCACUGUGUCUUCUAGAAGGUCGUUCAUGGAGUAUAUUACAUGGUUAACAUCAAAAGGCUGCCUAAUAGGCAGCUGUUAAGUAUGACAGUCUUUUAAUUAGUGAAGAUUUUACACAGUUAACCAUUGCUGGCUAUUCUCCCUACUAUCCUCUCUCACACCCUCCUUUUAUUUUCUACUUAAUUUUACAAAAUCAUUUAAUCCCUUUUUGAACUAUUAGUAGGUUCUCUUGUUUUGAUCGUUCUCUGUUGUCAUUUUCCUUUCAAUGAUAAGUACACCCAAAUUUUGGCCAAUUCAUAAGUAUUUGGGUGUAAUAAAGACUUCUUUCA